CCCAUCCCCACCACCAAUUCCAAACCCUCACGGCCAAACAAAUCACUCACACAGAUCGCCCGUUCCCAUCAUCGACCCCGGCCUCAUUUGGUGCCCUUGGUGGUGAGCCCGAAGCCGAACGGGAACAGCGGGUCGUAGUGCUUGUCGCCGACGCUCAUCGGCAGCUGGUCCACGGACUUGAACCACGUCCGCGACAGCUUCCCCGUGAACCCGUAGUCGCCGAACAGCACGUCGGCGACGCCCUGGCCCUCCGACCCCGGCAGCCACGCCGCCACGAACGCGUCCAUGUCGCCCAGGUACGGCUCCACCACCAGCGGCCUGCCGGAGAUGAGGACCACCACGCACUUGGUGGCCUUACACACCGACUGGAUCACGCUCGGCCCCGGCGCCGGGAUCGUCAGGUUCAGGUUGUCGCCGAACGUCUCCGCGUACGGCGGCUCCCCGACCACCACCACCGCGUAGUCGUACUUGUCGGCGAGGACGGUGCUGUCAGGGUUCUCGGAGUAGACCACCUGCGUGCUGGGAUCAAUGGUGGCCUUGAUUCCUUCCAGGAUCGUC
rnacentral:lncRNA from 1 species